rnacentral:rRNA from 1 species
UACAGAGGUCUCAAGCGUUGUUCGGAUUCAUUGGGCGUAAAGGGUGCGUAGGCGGCGCGGUAAGUCGGGUGUGAAAGCCUGGAGCUUAACUCCAGAAGUGCACUUGAUACUGCGGUGCUAGAGGACUGGAGAGGAGACUGGAAUUCACGGUGUAGCAGUGAAAUGCGUAGAUAUCGUGAGGAAGGCCAGUGGCGAAGGCGGGUCUCUGGACAGUUCCUGACGCUCAGGCACGAAGGCUAGGGGAGCAAACGGG